UACCACAUGCUCGUCUGUAUCAGAGGGUCCAAAAAUCUGUCUUAUCUGCACCAAGCAUGGCGAAUAUCUGUACUAUUAUCUGUACGGUAUAUUUUUUGUAAAAAACUUUUUUUUAACAUGCAUUUUGAACAAUCUUAUGACAACACUAAACGCUGAUAUGCAGCUCGGAAGGAACGCAAAACUCCAUAUAAAAAACAACCAAGAAACGGCCAAGGAAAGACGUUUCUUCGCGUGCCCGGUCACGAAAAUUUCUAGCAGAGCUGGUUCAGUAUGAAUCCUGCUAGAAUUAUUCUAGCAGGCCUGCCAGAACUCUGUUAGAAUUUUGCUAGAAAAUUCUGACAGACAUAAUUUGUCAAAAAUGACGUCAUUUUCGCCUAACCGUUUUGUGGCGAAUGUGAAUACCGCCAUCUUGUCAAUUUUCUCUUUUAUUUCUGUUUCUUUUGGAGGAGGACGACGCAUUUUCUGCACCGUCAACUUUGGAAUCAGAUACAGGCAGUUCAUCCGUUGAAUGCUUGGCAUGACAACAUAUUCCAGCUCGCUGACCAUGUUGCCCGGAAAAUUUGGACGACAACACGGGUUGCAUCUCAGAAAACGGAAAAUUGCAAAUGUUUUACGACGCCAAGUACAACGCAACCCCCCUCGAUCGUUUCCAGAAAAAAAGUUCCUGAGUGAAAGUUAAUUUAGAAAAGUGUGUGUUUUUUGUUUAUAGUUGUUGCGAGUAUCGUGUGUAUUGAAUAAAUAUAUUUUUUUAUUUUGCUUCAAUUUGCUAGAAAAAUCUAGCAAACCUUCUCAAGAAACCUUUAA